GGAACAAUGGAGUUACUCCUGAUUUACACCAGGGUAAGAGGAGAACCAGUCCGAAGUUCUAGGGAGUUCAGUUCCUGCUCAUCCCAGAAAUAAUCUGGUUGCUGGAGGAAGGAUUAAAACAGCUGAAUUUGUGGAGCUCAGUGAAAUGGCAAUGGAUCAUGGUAACAACUAUGUGAAGGGUGUGAACAGCUGAUCGCUUUGUGAAAUUGUCCAGAUUUUGACUUUGUCCCGAUUCAGCUCUGGAAACAUUUUCGAUAUCGCCAAAAUUCUUGUGGGAUGGGAAACCUGUUUCUGCCCAGCUCUGCUUGACAAGCACUUAUCCAUCCUCUUGAUCCCCUGUGAGGUAGGUAAACGUUCAUGCCCCAUUUUUACAUAUGAGCAGGCAGAAGAGCAGAGCGGGUUAGUGACUUGUGAGAGUCACAUGGCAGAUAUGUGGCCGAACUGCAGGUGGAACCCAGGAGUCCUGAUUGCUAUAACCACUAGGUAACACUACCUUCAGAGGUGAACCAGAACAGGGGAGUCCCUAACCACUUAUCCCCUGCUCUAACCACUGGAUCACACUCUCCUGCCAGAGCUGAGAAUCAAACCAAGGCGUCCGGUGUCCCAGCCUUCUGCUCUAACACCCCUCUGCCAUGUAACAUGUUUUCAUUUGCUUUGGGAGCACAACAAGAACCAAAGCCACCUGGGGAAUCCAGCCCCAAGAUGUGGCCUGGAUGCGCCUUUGAGCAGUGGACUGUGCAGAUACUUUCCCUUUAGUGAGUUCCCCACUGCCCCCACCCUCAGCCCUCCCUGAACAGACAAACAAGGCGACUAAUCUGAUGCAAGGACAGCACCGUAAAUGGCCAUCCUGACGGACUCCUGGAAUUCCACUUGGGGCAGUGGCUUCUGGAAGGAUCAAAGCCAGGCAGCUCAUCAGACGGUCACCUGCCAGCCAGAGACAAGUGCUCUUGUGUUCCUCUAGGGAUGCCGUGUGACUUGCGGAGCUUUUUAAAUAGAAGGGCUGAUCUCACAAUGGGUAAAAUGUUUCCCUGAUCUCACGCUCAUCUGCUAAGGUCAAGGUUCAGAGAGAGGAAGCAGCCACCACAGACAGCACCCCCCCACCACGCCCCCAAUCCCAGACGCUCCGGGGUCCCCACACAUGACAUCAUUUCCCACCAAUCGCAGACGAUGGACGUCUUAUGGUCUGGGAGCCGGGAGGCCCACUUCCCUUUUUUUUUCAAUGCAAGAUCAACUGCGCACGGUGGAAACUGACCCAGCCUGGAUCCGAGAGGGGAGAAGACUCUUUGCUUCUGAUGAGCACCGGCACAUUCAGCAGAUGGCUGGACACCUGGGGCAUUGGCAUUGGGCCCCGCACUUCUCAGAGGGGAGGGCCUCUCCCCAUUGGCUUGAAGCCCCCCUUCUAGUUGCCAGCCCCUUACCCACCACCUAAUUCAAACUGGUCAAACCCUUGCCCCGCCCUUAGCACCCUGUUCCCCCUCUUCCCCAGUUGCUCCAAUUCUCCAGCAAUGUCCUGUCAAAGCCCCCCGUCCCUGGUCAGCCCUGUGCCAAACCCUCCCCCACCUUCAGGAAGGUCCCCACCUGUCUUACUGUGCACCAAGCCCACCAACCCCCGGCCAGUGCCGGGGUCACCAAUCAGACUCAUACAGUGAGUGAAAGCCAUGGCAAAUGGCAGUAACCUCUCCUCCCCGCCGAGUCAUUAGCCAUCCAAACAAAUGUGCCCCCGGGAACGAAGGUGCCUGUGCCAAGGGCACUGUGACCCCAGUGCCUCAGGUUUCACAGGACAAAGGCGUGUUCUGCACCAGACUCUCCUUUCUCAGUCCCCGGGGAGGCGUUUCCUUUUACAGGCCGUGGAGAGCAGCGGACGUCAGCAAGUCCUCUCGGCUGGAUUGGAUACUGACUCCAUUUAAGGCCUUAGCUAUGCUGGGAAUUAGCCCCAAGUCCAGCCCCUGGUGUAGCUGUGCCCAUGUGAACCCCCUCAGUGCAGGCGAGCACCGAUGCUAUUUGCACCAGGGGAGCUUGAAACUGGGGGGGGGGGUUGUGUGGGGACAGAUCACAGCUUUCCUGCUGUAUACUGGGGGCAUGCAGGGUUGCAGCUGCUUCAGUGACUAACUAAUUUCCAGUGUAGCUAAGGCCUAUUGCUAAGCCUCUGCCCUUCCUCAACACUUCCCAUUCGAGGAUCUCAAGGCACUUCCAUGACAUCAGGCCCAUGUUGGGAGGGUAUCGUUAUCCCUUUUCUUUAGAAACAGGGAAACCGAGGCACAGAGCAGUGAAAGGAUUUGCCCAAGGUCACACAGCGAGUCAGUGGCAGAAUUAGGAAGUGCACCUGAUGCCCAGGCCCCUGCUCUGAUCUCUAGACUGUGCUGUGCACAAUCAGCAUUUCUCCUCCUCCUGUCUUGGCAUCCCCUGAUUUAAGUCCUUUAUCCCUAAUAUCCAAGAACUUGAGACACACACACAUCCCCUUGGCAUAAAAGUGGGACUCUCCGGGUCAUGUCAUGGGGAAAUGCAAACAGUGAUGUGAAAGGGACAGCAGGGGCAUGCUGCAGA